AACGAACGCUGGCGGCAGGCCUAACACAUGCAAGUCGAGCGCCCCGCAAGGGGAGCGGCGGACGGGUGAGUAACGCGUGGGAAUAUGCCCUUUGCUACGGAAUAGUCUCGGGAAACUGGGGGUAAUACCGUAUACGCCCUUUGGGGGAAAGAUUUAUCGGCGAAGGAUUAGCCCGCGUUGGAUUAGGUAGUUGGUGGGGUAAUGGCCUACCAAGCCGACGAUCCAUAGCUGGUUUGAGAGGAUGAUCAGCCACACUGGGACUGAGACACGGCCCAGACUCCUACGGGAAGCAGCAGUGGGGAAUCUUAGACAAUGGGGGCAACCCUGAUCUAGCCAUGCCGCGUGAGUGAUGAAGGCCUUAGGGUUGUAAAGCUCUUUCAGCUGGGAAGAUAAUGACGGUACCAGCAGAAGAAGCCCCGGCUAACUCCGUG
rnacentral:rRNA from 1 species